UCCGGUGUGGUUUAGUUGGUUAUAAUUCGGUGGGUGGUCACCCCUCCGCGCAACAUUAGUAAGAAGCAAUCCGAAGCUGACACGGGGAUCUAGGGUGCCUUCCUGCUCGAGACCCUGGUUCGAUCCCAGGCGCCGGAC